rnacentral:rRNA from 1 species
GAUGAACGCUGGCGGCGUGCCUAAUACAUGCAAGUCGAGCGAACAGAUGAGGAGCUUGCUCCUCUGACGUUAGCGGCGGACGGGUGAGUAACACGUGGAUAACCUACCUAUAAGACUGGGAUAACUUCGGGAAACCGGAGCUAAUACCGGAUAAUAUAUUGAACCGCAUGGUUCAAUAGUGAAAGACGGUUUUGCUGUCACUUAUAGAUGGAUCCGCGCCGCAUUAGCUAGUUGGUAAGGUAACGGCUUACCAAGGCAACGAUGCGUAGCCGACCUGAGAGGGUCAUCGGCCACACUGGAACUGAGACACGGUCCAGACUCCUACGGGAGGCAGCAGUAGGGAAUCUUCCGCAAUGGGCGAAAGCUUGACGGAGCAACGCCGCGUGAGUGAUGAAGGUCUUCGGAUCGUAAAACUCUGUUAUUAGGGAAGAACAAAUGUGUAAGUAACUAUGCACGUCUUGACGGUACCUAAUCAGAAAGCCACGGCUAACUACGUG